AAAGACUUGACGGUACUUCACACCUACCUAGAGGAGCCUGUCUAACAACCGAUACCCCACGAUCAACCCCACCCACUUUAGCCACACAGUCUAUAUACCGCCGUCGCCAGCUUACCUUGUAAAAGCAAUAAAGUGAGCAUAAUAAACCACCCCUUAACACGACAGGUCGAGGUGUAACUCAUAAGUGGGUAAAAGAUGGACUACAUUUUCUAACACAGAAUACACGAAUGAGCUAUGAAACUAUAAACUGAAGGAGGAUUUAGUAGUAUGCUAAGAAUAGAAAACCUAACAGAAACUAAUGCAAUGAAGUGCGUACACACCGCCCGUCAUCCCUG
rnacentral:rRNA from 1 species